rnacentral:pre_miRNA from 1 species
UCUUAUGGAUGAGCAAAGAAAUUAGUUUCCUCAGAUGGAAUCUACUUCUGCUGAAGAUGCUAUGAA